AACGAACGCUGCGGCAGGCCUAACACCUGCAAGUCGAGCGAGGACUUCGGUCCUAGCGGCGGACGGGUGAGUAACGCGUGGGAACGUGCCCUUUGCUUCGGAAUAGCCCUGGGAAACUGGGAGUAAUACCGGAUGAGCCCUUUGGGGGAAAGAUUUAUCGGCGAAGGAUCGGCCCGCGUUGGAUUAGGUAGUUGGUGGGGUAAUGGCCUACCAAGCCGACGAUCCAUAGCUGGUUUGAGAGGAUGAUCAGCCACACUGGGACUGAGACACGGCCCAGACUCCUACGGGAGGCAGCAGUGGGGAAUCUUAGACAAUGGGGGAAACCCUGAUCUAGCCAUGCCGCGUGAGCGAUGAAGGCCUUAGGGUUGUAAAGCUCUUUCAGCUGGGAAGAUAAUGACGGUACCAGCAGAAGAAGCCCCGGCUAACUCCGUG
rnacentral:rRNA from 1 species